UUAGAAGUCAAGAAACAAAUAAAAUAUUUUUGGUAUUUUUCAAAUAUUAAAAUAAAACUUGAAUUAAAAUAAUAAAGAAAGGUCAAACUUCAAACUCACUUCAAAUCAACCUUGAAAAGUCCAAGUGAAUUAUCCCAAGUUCAACAAGGUCAAACAAAGUUUGACAAAAAUUUCAGCAUUUUUAGAAGUCAGAAACUAUUUUAAAUCAAUUAAAAAUGCAUAAAAAUAACCUAAUUGAACUAAAAUCUCAAAU
rnacentral:lncRNA from 1 species